rnacentral:ncRNA from 2 species
UUCAUAAAUGGUGAUGGAGUUCGCCAUUUAACCGCCCCCAGGGCUGAUGACUCCUGUCGAGCC